rnacentral:rRNA from 1 species
GAUGAACGCUGGCGGCGUGCUUAACACAUGCAGGUCGAACGGUGAAGGCGGAGCUUGCUCUGCUGGAUCAGUGGCGAACGGGUGAGUAACACGUGAGCAAUCUGCCCCUGACUCUGGGAUAAGCGCUGGAAACGGCGUCUAAUACUGGAUACGAGCUGCGCAGGCAUCUUCAGCAGCUGGAAAGAAUUUCGGUCAGGGAUGAGCUCGCGGCCUAUCAGCUUGUUGGUGAGGUAAUGGCUCACCAAGGCGUCGACGGGUAGCCGGCCUGAGAGGGUGACCGGCCACACUGGGACUGAGACACGGCCCAGACUCCUACGGGAGGCAGCAGUGGGGAAUAUUGCACAAUGGGCGAAAGCCUGAUGCAGCAACGCCGCGUGAGGGACGACGGCCUUCGGGUUGUAAACCUCUUUUAGCAGGGAAGAAGCGAAAGUGACGGUACCUGCAGAAAAAGCGCCGGCUAACUACGUG